CAGAGUGUAGCAAAAUAGGCAUUGUAUCUGAUUUGGGAUCAGAAGAUUAUGGGUUCGAGUCCCAUCGCUCUGA
rnacentral:tRNA from 1 species